ACGGUGUGCUUCAUGACUGGGGUGAAGUCGUAACAAGGUAGCCGUAGGGGAACCUGUGGCUGGAUCACCUCCUU
rnacentral:rRNA from 1 species